rnacentral:rRNA from 1 species
UACGAAGGGGGCUAGCGUUGCUCGGAAUCACUGGGCGUAAAGGGCGCGUAGGCGGCUGAUUUAGUCGAGGGUGAAAGCCCGUGGCUCAACCACGGAAUGGCCUUCGAUACUGGUUGGCUUGAGACCGGAAGAGGACAGCGGAACUGCGAGUGUAGAGGUGAAAUUCGUAGAUAUUCGCAAGAACCCCAGUGGCGAAGGCGGCUGUCUGGUCCGGUUCUGACGCUGAGGCGCGAAAGCGUGGGGAGCAAACAGG